rnacentral:lncRNA from 1 species
UUAUGUGCCACGAUGCCUCAAAUCCAUUUUCACGAUUUUACGACGUCGCCUCGGCCCUCCCGGCGGACCCGAAGCCUAAACGUCCAUUUCUUUAAUAACUUUGUAACGGCUCGUCGGAUUGCCGAACCGUCUUCGCCAACGCGUUCGUUUACCUAGCAAUUAGGUUUACAUAGGGCCAAUUUAGAUCAAACCCAUACAUUUUAUAAAAUCCCAAAAUUGGAGCCCUAACAUGCUACUAUUGCAAUAAGCUUCAAAAUUGAUUCAUGAUUUAAGCAAUUAGCAUGUAGAUAUCAUAUAGAGAGUCCUCUAAACCCAUUCCUAGAGCAUAUAAUUAAAGCUCUAAGGUUCUACCAUUUUUAAAAACCUAGCCUCUACACAUGCUCCAAGUAACCCAAAUUAAAUGGAUUCAACAUGCUAAUCAACACAUUAGAGGCUAUUAGAACACUAAGCAUUAAGGAUUAAGCCAAAUCCCAAAAACUUACCUCAUUGUGAACACCACGGCGAGAACACGCUGCUCCAACGGCCGCGCAAAAGCUCGAUCCGUCGCUCCCAACGCGUUCGCAAGCAUCAUCUCCACCAAUCCCGCGAAUUUGAGCGAGAAAUAUAGAGAAAUGAGAGAGAAAUCUAGAGAGAGAAAGGAGGGUUUCUCUCUCCCUUCUCCAUGCGUGCGUGGGUGUGGGUGUGCUCGGGCUGAAGGAGAAAGAAGAAGCACAUUGCUUCUUAUAUACUUUAACACCCAAAACACUAUUCACUUCAGGCAGUUUUUGCAGUUCGGAACAGUUGGAGCCCUUUUGAAUGUCCGUUUGAGCUUAAAUUUGACAGACAGGCUCAGUUUAAUAUACUGAGUAAGAAUAUAUUUUAAGUUUUUAGUUUCGACCCCAUUUGGUCAC